rnacentral:rRNA from 1 species
UUAAGCGACUAAGCGUACACGGUGGAUGCCCUGGCAGUCAGAGGCGAUGAAGGACGUGCUAAUCUGCGAUAAGCGUCGGUAAGGUGAUAUGAACCGUUAUAACCGGCGAUUUCCGAAUGGGGAAACCCAGUGUGUUUCGACACACUAUCAUUAACUGAAUCCAUAGGUUAAUGAGGCGAACCGGGGGAACUGAACAUCUAAGUACCCCGAGGAAAAGAAAUCAACCGAGAUUCCCCCAGUAGCGGCGAGCGAACGGGGAGCAGCCCAGAGCCUGAAUCAGUGUGUGUGUUAGUGGAAGCGUCUGGAAAGGCGCGCGAUACAGGGUGACAGCCCCGUACACAAAAAUGCACAUAUUGUGAGCUCGAUGAGUAGGGCGGGACACGUGGUAUCCUGUCUGAAUAUGGGGGGACCAUCCUCCAAGGCUAAAUACUCCUGACUGACCGAUAGUGAACCAGUACCGUGAGGGAAAGGCGAAAAGAACCCCGGCGAGGGGAGUGAAAAAGAACCUGAAACCGUGUACGUACAAGCAGUGGGAGCACGCUUAGGCGUGUGACUGCGUACCUUUUGUAUAAUGGGUCAGCGACUUAUAUUCUGUAGCAAGGUUAACCGAAUAGGGGAGCCGAAGGGAAACCGAGUCUUAACUGGGCGUUAAGUUGCAGGGUAUAGACCCGAAACCCGGUGAUCUAGCCAUGGGCAGGUUGAAGGUUGGGUAACACUAACUGGAGGACCGAACCGACUAAUGUUGAAAAAUUAGCGGAUGACUUGUGGCUGGGGGUGAAAGGCCAAUCAAACCGGGAGAUAGCUGGUUCUCCCCGAAAGCUAUUUAGGUAGCGCCUCGUGAAUUCAUCUCCGGGGGUAGAGCACUGUUUCGGCAAGGGGGUCAUCCCGACUUACCAACCCGAUGCAAACUGCGAAUACCGGAGAAUGUUAUCACGGGAGACACACGGCGGGUGCUAACGUCCGUCGUGAAGAGGGAAACAACCCAGACCGCCAGCUAAGGUCCCAAAGUCAUGGUUAAGUGGGAAACGAUGUGGGAAGGCCCAGACAGCCAGGAUGUUGGCUUAGAAGCAGCCAUCAUUUAAAGAAAGCGUAAUAGCUCACUGGUCGAGUCGGCCUGCGCGGAAGAUGUAACGGGGCUAAACCAUGCACCGAAGCUGCGGCAGCGACGCUGAUGCGUUGUUGGGUAGGGGAGCGUUCUGUAAGCCUGUGAAGGUGUGCUGUGAGGCAUGCUGGAGGUAUCAGAAGUGCGAAUGCUGACAUAAGUAACGAUAAAGCGGGUGAAAAGCCCGCUCGCCGGAAGACCAAGGGUUCCUGUCCAACGUUAAUCGGGGCAGGGUGAGUCGACCCCUAAGGCGAGGCCGAAAGGCGUAGUCGAUGGGAAACAGGUUAAUAUUCCUGUACUUGGUGUUACUGCGAAGGGGGACGGAGAAGGCUAUGUUGGCCGGGCGACGGUUGUCCCGGUUUAAGCGUGUAGGCUGGUUUUCCAGGCAAAUCCGGAAAAUCAAGGCUGAGGCGUGAUGACGAGGCACUACGGUGCUGAAGCAACAAAUGCCCUGCUUCCAGGAAAAGCCUCUAAGCAUCAGGUAACAUCAAAUCGUACCCCAAACCGACACAGGUGGUCAGGUAGAGAAUACCAAGGCGCUUGAGAGAACUCGGGUGAAGGAACUAGGCAAAAUGGUGCCGUAACUUCGGGAGAAGGCACGCUGAUAUGUAGGUGAAGUCCCUCGCGGAUGGAGCUGAAAUCAGUCGAAGAUACCAGCUGGCUGCAACUGUUUAUUAAAAACACAGCACUGUGCAAACACGAAAGUGGACGUAUACGGUGUGACGCCUGCCCGGUGCCGGAAGGUUAAUUGAUGGGGUCAGCGCAAGCGAAGCUCUUGAUCGAAGCCCCGGUAAACGGCGGCCGUAACUAUAACGGUCCUAAGGUAGCGAAAUUCCUUGUCGGGUAAGUUCCGACCUGCACGAAUGGCGUAAUGAUGGCCAGGCUGUCUCCACCCGAGACUCAGUGAAAUUGAACUCGCUGUGAAGAUGCAGUGUACCCGCGGCAAGACGGAAAGACCCCGUGAACCUUUACUAUAGCUUGACACUGAACAUUGAGCCUUGAUGUGUAGGAUAGGUGGGAGGCUUUGAAGUGUGGACGCCAGUCUGCAUGGAGCCGACCUUGAAAUACCACCCUUUAAUGUUUGAUGUUCUAACGUGGACCCGUGAUCCGGGUUGCGGACAGUGUCUGGUGGGUAGUUUGACUGGGGCGGUCUCCUCCUAAAGAGUAACGGAGGAGCACGAAGGUUGGCUAAUCCUGGUCGGACAUCAGGAGGUUAGUGCAAUGGCAUAAGCCAGCUUGACUGCGAGCGUGACGGCGCGAGCAGGUGCGAAAGCAGGUCAUAGUGAUCCGGUGGUUCUGAAUGGAAGGGCCAUCGCUCAACGGAUAAAAGGUACUCCGGGGAUAACAGGCUGAUACCGCCCAAGAGUUCAUAUCGACGGCGGUGUUUGGCACCUCGAUGUCGGCUCAUCACAUCCUGGGGCUGAAGUAGGUCCCAAGGGUAUGGCUGUUCGCCAUUUAAAGUGGUACGCGAGCUGGGUUUAGAACGUCGUGAGACAGUUCGGUCCCUAUCUGCCGUGGGCGCUGGAGAACUGAGGGGGGCUGCUCCUAGUACGAGAGGACCGGAGUGGACGCAUCACUGGUGUUCGGGUUGUCAUGCCAAUGGCACUGCCCGGUAGCUAAAUGCGGAAGAGAUAAGUGCUGAAAGCAUCUAAGCACGAAACUUGCCCCGAGAUGAGUUCUCCCUGACUCCUUGAGAGUCCUGAAGGAACGUUGAAGACGACGACGUUGAUAGGCCGGGUGUGUAAGCGCAGCGAUGCGUUGAGCUAACCGGUACUAAUGAACCGUGAGGCUUAACCUU